GAUCGUGACCUGAGCCAAAGUCGGAGGCUCAACCGACUGAGCCACCCAGGCGCCUGCAUAGGGUACAGUUUAAAUAUCCUACCUGGUUGGCCUUUGCUCAGCCGGCCUCUCUCUAGGACCGUUCUCUGACAGGACACUUCCUCCAGCCAAGCAGCUCAUUUUCCCCAGAGCCCCGGCACCCUGCUUUCCUAACUGUUCUUAGAUGUCGUCCUGCCCAGUGGAUUUGCCUUUUUACCUCCAUCUUGAAGGUCCACCUCUCCUCACAGUGGAAGUGAAUGCAAGAGGAAUUGCCCCAUUUCCCAGAUGGAUUCCUGACUCUGAGGACAGUGGAUGUGCACAUUUGCUGAGACACUCUUAAAAUAAUGUUUUUCCUUUAGUCCCCAGUUUCUGGAUUCAUAUACUAAUUCAUUGAAUUAAUUCCAAUCUACAAUUUUGAAGGUGGGAUGGGGCAAUUAAUUAUCUACUCGAUGAAACUCAUUUGCUGUUUCCCAUGGCAUAUCUAAACCCAGAACCACUCAGCGUGUUUCUUGGGGGAAGGUUAACUAGAAAUGCCAGUUGUAGAUAGUGUUUUCUGCAGGGUCCAGGAUCCAUCUUUCCCAUCAUUGUUCUGAAAGUUUAAUCAGUUAUUUUUUUAAUUUUUAAAAGUUUAUUUAUUUUUGAGAGAAACAAAGACAGUGUGAGUGGGGUAGGGGCAGAGAGAGAGGAAGAGAGAAUCCCAAGCAGGCCCCACACCACCAGCACAGAGCCCAAUGCGGGGCUCAAAUUCACAAAACUGCGAGAUCAUGACCUGAGCCAAAACCAAGAGUCGGUCGCCUAACCGACUGAGCCACCCAGGCGCCCCUUUUUGAUGGAUGAGCAAAUUCCAUGUAUGGAGUCUCUUGGUGCACUGUGCCUCUUCCAUUUGGUUCAGGGUUUGCUGUGAUGAAUGGUCAGCUGUAAGUGGGUGACACUGCCGUGUUCUGUGCAGACGGUGACCGAGGAGCUGUGUCUGCCUCCCAUACCUACCCUGGCCUUUCUUCCUGGCCCGAGUCUUGGCUGAUUUGUCUAUGCUCUGAUGUCACUUUGGUGUUACACAUUCUAGAUCCUGGUGUCUAAGAAUGCCACCAGCAUAGAAGGAAGGAGAUGUUCUAUUGUACGGGAUCGUCCAGUGCUUCAUUGAGACAAACCAAGCAGAUUUGAUUAUAUCAAACCAAGAAAUGCUAAUAGUUGCUUCUCGCUUACUAAGACUCGGAGUCAAGAAUUGCUGCAAUAUUUAGAGAAAUCUGCUAAAUCCCGAUUUAAUUUUGAUUCAUUUCGCUGGAAGCAUUGGUGGAGACAGGAAGUUGGUGUUGGGGAUCAGAAGCUAUUGAUAUUUUCAGCCACAACCAAGAACCUGGAUGAAUAAUGUGUAUCAGUGGUUGUGCCACUUUGAAAAGCACAAAAACUAUCAUUAAAGCAAAAUUUUAUACUAAA